rnacentral:rRNA from 1 species
UACGUAGGGCGCAAGCGUUGUCCGGAAUUAUUGGGCGUAAAGAGCUCGUAGGCGGCUUGUCACGUCGGGUGUGAAAGCCCGGGGCUUAACCCCGGGUCUGCAUUCGAUACGGGCUAGCUAGAGUGUGGUAGGGGAGAUCGGAAUUCCUGGUGUAGCGGUGAAAUGCGCAGAUAUCAGGAGGAACACCGGUGGCGAAGGCGGGUCUCUGGGCCGUAACUGACGCUGAGGCGCGAAAGCGUGGGGAGCAAACGGG